UCCCACAAAACGCUACGUCCAGAUGAACAGAUUCAACUUUUGGAGACAUAUAGAAAAAUAGUCUUGGAAUAUAAACAAAAGGAUGCAGGGCAGGAGAACAGCCAACCCCCAGGACAGGACAGGAAGCCACAGGUACAAGCCGGGGGGAAGGAAAUCAGCCUUUAGAAUAGGACUCCAGAUGCAUCUGUAUUUUAUUUUCUUCCAGCGCAAAUAAAGACUGAUUUUGGAAGUAAAAGUCUCCGCCUGAUCGCUACCAUCAAAAAGAAUCCGUGAAGGCGGCGUACUUCUUCUUAUGACCCUCAGAGAGAGGAAAAAAAAAACAAUAGCAGUGGAGCGUCCUGGAGACCUGACGGUCUGGAUCAUCAGACUCCAGAGGUGCUGCUGUAAAUCAUGUGGUCAACCCUCCUUUUCUGUCAAGGAACUGAGUAACAGGAGGAGAAGAGUCUGGUGGUGCAGCAGAGGAACAAUUUCAGCCAUUUG